AACGAACGCUGGCGGCAUGCCUAACACAUGCAAGUCGAACGAAGGCUUCGGCCUUAGUGGCGCACGGGUGCGUAACGCGUGGGAAUCUGCCCUUUGGUUCGGAAUAACAGCUGGAAACGGCUGCUAAUACCGGAUGAUGACGAAAGUCCAAAGAUUUAUCGCCAGAGGAUGAGCCCGCGUUGGAUUAGGCAGUUGGUGGGGUAAAGGCCUACCAAGCCGACGAUCCAUAGCUGGUCUGAGAGGAUGAGCAGCCACACUGGGACUGAGACACGGCCCAGACUCCUACGGGAGGCAGCAGUGGGGAAUAUUGGACUAUGGGCGCAAGCCUGAUCCAGCAAUGCCGCGUGAGUGAUGAAGUCCCUAGGGUUGUAAAGCUCUUUUACCCGGGAAGAUAAUGACGGUACCGAGAGAAUAAGCCCCGGCUAACUCCGUG
rnacentral:rRNA from 1 species